GCGGCAAAAGCUCAAAUUUGAAAUCUGGUACCUUCGGUGCCCGAGUUGUAAUUUGUAGAGGGCGACUUUGGGGCGGCUCCUUGUCUAUGUUCCUUGGAACAGGACGUCAUAGAGGGUGAGAAUCCCGUGUGGCGAGGAGUGCGGUUCCGUGUAAAGCGCUCUCGAAGAGUCGAGUUGUUUGGGAAUGCAGCUCUAAGUGGGUGGUAAAUUCCAUCUAAAGCUAAAUAUUGGCGAGAGACCGAUAGCGAACAAGUACAGUGAUGGAAAGAUGAAAAGAACUUUGAAAAGAGAGUGAAAAAGUACGUGAAAUUGUUGAAAGGGAAGGGCAUUUGAUCAGACAUGGUGUUUUGCGCCCCUCGCUCCUUGUGGGUGGGGGACCCUCGCAGCUCACUGGGCCAGCAUCAGUUUUGGCGGUCGGAUAAAACCAGGGGAACGUAGCUUGCUUCGGGAAGUGUUAUAGCCCUUGGGAAUACGGCCAGCCGGGACUGAGGAACGCGAUUCGUCAAGGA
rnacentral:rRNA from 1 species